rnacentral:rRNA from 1 species
UACGUAGGUGGCAAGCGUUGUCCGGAAUUAUUGGGCGUAAAGCGCGCGCAGGCGGUCCUUUAAGUCUGAUGUGAAAGCCCACGGCUCAACCGUGGAGGGUCAUUGGAAACUGGGGGACUUGAGUGCAGAAGAGGAAAGCGGAAUUCCACGUGUAGCGGUGAAAUGCGUAGAUAAUCGGUAGGAACACCAGUGGCGAAGGCGGUCUCCUGGGGCAUUCUUGACGCUGGAGGCGCGAAAGCUGGGGGAGCGAACAGG